rnacentral:rRNA from 1 species
GGCGAACGCUGGCGGCGUGCUUAACACAUGCAAGUCGAACGCUGAAGCUCAGCUUUUGUUGGGUGGAUGAGUGGCGAACGGGUGAGUAACACGUGAGUAACCUGCCCCCUUCUUUGGGAUAACGCCCGGAAACGGGUGCUAAUACUGGAUAUUCACUGGUCUUCGCAUGGGGGUUGGUGGAAAGGGUUUUUCUGGUGGGGGAUGGGCUCGCGGCCUAUCAGCUUGUUGGUGGGGUGAUGGCCUACCAAGGCUUUGACGGGUAGCCGGCCUGAGAGGGUGACCGGUCACAUUGGGACUGAGAUACGGCCCAGACUCCUACGGGAGGCAGCAGUGGGGAAUAUUGCACAAUGGGCGCAAGCCUGAUGCAGCGACGCCGCGUGAGGGAUGGAGGCCUUCGGGUUGUGAACCUCUUUCGCUCAUGGUCAAGCCGCAACAAUGGUUGUGGUGAGGGUAGUGGGUAAAGAAGCGCCGGCUAACUACGUG